CGAAGGGUGCUAGCGUUAAUCGGAAUUACGUGGGCGUAAAGCGUGCGCAGGCGGUUUGUUAAGAUAGGCGUGAAACUCCCCGGGCUCAACCGUGGGAACUGCGCUUAUGACUGGCAAGCUAGAGUACGGCAGAGGGGGUGGAAUUCCACGUGUAGCAGUGAAAUGCGUAGAGAUGUGGAGGAACACCAAUGGCGAAGGCAGCCCCCUGGGUCGAUACUGACGCUCAUGCACGAAAGCGUGGGUAGCAAACAGGAUUAGAUACCCUGGUAGUCCACGCCCUAAACGAUGUCAACUAGGUGUUGGGAGGGUAAAACCUUUUAGUACCGGAGCUAACGCGUGAAGUUGACCGCCUGGGGAGUACGGCCGCAAGGUUA
rnacentral:rRNA from 1 species